rnacentral:rRNA from 1 species
UACGUAGGGUGCAAGCGUUAAUCGGAAUUACUGGGCGUAAAGCGUGCGCAGGCGGUUUUGUAAGUCUGUUGUGAAAUCCCCGGGCUCAACCUGGGAAUGGCAAUGGAGACUGCAAGGCUAGAGUUUGGCAGAGGGGGGGUAGAAUUCCACGUGUAGCAGUGAAAUGCGUAGAUAUGUGGAGGAACACCGAUGGCGAAGGCAGCCCCCCUGGGUCAAAACUGACGCUCAUGCACGAAAGCGUGGGGAGCAAACAGG